UGGCGUCACUUGGGCCCAGGAGUUGAGUG
rnacentral:piRNA from 1 species